AAUAGUACCCGGGUAGUCCACGCCGUAAACGAUGAGUGCUAAGUGUUAGGGGGUUUCCGCCCCUUAGUGCUGCAGCUAACGCAUUAAGCACUCCGCCUGGGGAGUACGGUCGCAAGACUGAAACUCAAAGGAAUUGACGGGGGCCCGCACAAGCGGUGGAGCAUGUGGUUUAAUUCGAAGCAACGCGAAGAACCUUACCAGGUCUUGACAUCCCAUUGACCACUAUGGAGACAUAGUUUUCCCUUCGGGGACAACGGUGACAGGUGGUGCAUGGUUGUCGUCAGCUCGUGUCGUGAGAUGUUGGGUUAAGUCCCGCAACGAGCGCAACCCUUGUUCUUAGUUGCCAUCAUUUAGUUGGGCACUCUAAGGAGACUGCCGGUGACAAACCGGAGGAAGGUGGGGAUGACGUCAAAUCAUCAUGCCCCUUAUGACCUGGGCUACACACGUGCUACAAUGGACGGUACAAACGGUUGCCAACCCGCGAGGGGGAGCUAAUCCGAUAAAACCGUUCUCAGUUCGGAUUGUAGGCUGCAACUCGCCUACAUGAAGCCGG
rnacentral:rRNA from 1 species